rnacentral:rRNA from 1 species
CACGCCGCGUGAGUGAAGAAGGCCUUCGGGUUGUAAAGCUCUUUCGGCUGGGAAGAAAUCGCAGAGGCUAAUACUCUGUGUGAAUGACGGUACCAGUACAAGAAGCACCGGCUAAUUACGUGCCAGCAGCCGCGGUAAUACGUAAGGUGCGAGCGUUAAUCGAAAUUACUGGGCUUAAAGCGUGCGCAGGCGGUUGUGCAGGACAGAUGUGAAAUCCCCGGGCUCAACCUGGGAACUGCAUUUGUGACUGCACGACUAGAGUACGGCAAAGGGGGGUGGAAUUCCACGUGUUCCAGUGAAAUGCCUAUAGAUGUGGAGGAAUACCGAUGGCUAAGGCACCCCCCUGGGCCAAUACUGACGCUCAUGCACGAAAGCGUGGGGAGCAAACAGGAUUAAAUACCCUGGUAGUCCACGCCCUAAACGAUGUCAACUAGUUGUUGGGAGGGUUAAACCU